CCCAGUUCACUCCCACGUUUGACCCUUUUGAAACCAUUCCCAUUGAGCCAAUUACAAUCAUUAGUGUUAUCAAGACAUUACUACACACAGUAAUCUUGCCUCUGCCAUUUUCUUUUCUUUGAUUAAUCUUUGAUGGGUCUUUCUUCAAAUCUUUCUUGACUCAAGAAAAAUGGUGGACAGGUGAAAAGGUUUGAACGGUAUUAAGGAAAUAAAUAAACGGGGAGAUCUUGCUUCUUCUUGUUGUGGGUUAAGCUAUGUGUAAUUUUAUAGUGUUGAUUUUGCGAUAUUUCAAGGAGAAAGUGAAAAUCUUGAAAGAAAGUU
rnacentral:lncRNA from 1 species